UGGAUAACCUACCUAUAAGACUGGGAUAACUUCGGGAAACCGGAGCUAAUACCGGAUAAUAUAUUGAACCGCAUGGUUCAAUAGUGAAAGACGGUUUUGCUGUCACUUAUAGAUGGAUCCGCGCCGCAUUAGCUAGUUGGUAAGGUAACGGCUUACCAAGGCAACGAUGCGUAGCCGACCUGAGAGGGUGAUCGGCCACACUGGAACUGAGACACGGUCCAGACUCCUACGGGAGGCAGCAGUAGGGAAUCUUCCGCAAUGGGCGAAAGCUUGACGGAGCAACGCCGCGUGAGUGAUGAACGUCUUCGGAUCGUGAGACUCUGUUAUUAGGGAAGAAGAAAUGUGUGAGUAACUAUGCACGUCUUGACGGUACCUAAUCAGAAAGCCACGGCUAACUACGUGCCAGCAGCCGCGGUAAUACGUAGGUGGCAAGCGUUAUCCGGAAUUAUUGGGCGUAAAGCGCGCGUAGGCGGUUUUUUAAGUCUGAUGUGAAAGCCCACGGCUCAACCGUGGAGGGUCAUUGGAAACUGGAAAACUUGAGUGCAGAAGAGGAAAGUGGAAUUCCAUGUGUA
rnacentral:rRNA from 1 species